rnacentral:rRNA from 1 species
UACGGAGGGUGCAAGCAUUAAUCGGAUUUACUGGGCGUAAAGGGCGCGUAGGCGGGCAAGCAAGUCAAAUGUGAAAUUCCGGAGCUCAACUUCGGAGCGGCAUUUGAAACUGCAUGUCUAUAGAGGGAUGACGGAGAAAAUGGAAUUCCACGUGUAGCGGUGAAAUGCGUAGAUAUGUGGAAGAACACCAGUGGCGAAAGCGGUUUUCUAGUUAUCACCUGACGCUGAGGCGCGAGAGCAUGGGGAGCAAACAGG